rnacentral:rRNA from 1 species
UGAGUACGAGAUGCUACGGCGUCGAAGCAGUCUAGGUCAUACUUCCAAGAAAAGCUUGCACUGUCAUAAACAAAGAAUGCCUGUACCAUAACCGACACAGGUGGGUAGGUAGAGUAUACUAAGGGGCGCGAGAUAACUCUCUCUAAGGAACUCGGCAAAAUGACUCCGUAACUUCGGGAGAAUGAGUGCCUUAUUUUUAAGGUUGCAAUAACAAGAUCCAAGCAACUGUUUACCAAAAACACAGGUCUCCGCUAAGUCGUAAGACGAUGUAUGGGGGCUGACGCCUGCCCAGUGCCAGAAGGUUAAAGAAGUUGGUUAGCAUUUGCGAAGCUGAUAACUGAAGCCCUGGUGAACGGCGGCCGUAACGAUAACGGUCCUAAGGUAGCGAAAUUCCUUGUCGGGUAAGUUCCGACCCGCACGAAAGGCGUAAUGAUUUGGAUACUGUCUCGGAGAGGGGCUCGGUGAAAUAGACUUGUCUGUGAAGAUGCGGACUACCUGCACCUGGACAGAAAGACCCUAUGAAGCUUUACUGUAACUUGAGAUUGAAAUUGGACUUUAUUUGCGCAGUAUAGGUGGGAGGCGUUGAGAAUAAUCUUGCGGGAUUAUCGGAGCCAUCAGUGAGAUACCACUCUUGUAAUGUUAGAUUUCUAACUUUGUAUCAUUAUCUGGUCAAAGAACAGUUUCAGGCGGGCAGUUUGACUGGGGCGGUCGCCUCCCAAAGGGUAACGGAGGCGCACAAAGGUUUCCUCUGAACGGGUAGAAAUCGUAUCUAGAGUGUAAAGGCAUAAGGAAGCUUGACUGUGAGACCUACAAGUCGAGCAGGGACGAAAGUCGGUCUUAGUGAUCUGACGGUGCUGAGUGGAAAGGCCGUCACUCAACGGAUAAAAGUUACUCUAGGAUAACAGGCUGAUCUCCCCCAAGAGUUCACAUCGACGGGGAGGUUUGGCACCUCGAUGUCGGCUCAUCGCAUCCUGGGGCGGUAGUACGUCCCAAGGGUUGGGCUGUUCGCCCAUGAAAGCGGUACGCGAGCUGGGUUCAGAACGUCGUGAGACAGUUCGGUCCAUAUCCGGUGUAGGCGUUAGAAUAUUGAAAGGAGCCUUCUCUAGUACGAGAGGACCGAGAAGGACAUACCUCUGGUGUGCCAGUUAUCGUGCCAACGGUAAACGCUGGGUAGCUAUGUAUGGAGUGGAUAACCGCUGAAAGCAUCUAAGUGGGAAGCCCACCUUAAGAUAAGUAUUCUCAUC